GACCCCCACCCGGAAGCAGCUCGUAAAACUCUUAUUUUAACCGUCAUUCUUUUGAAAAGUUUGAUUUAUUCUGUAGCUUCCUGCUAGUCACAGGUGUUCCUGCCUCUUGGAUCAUGGGUCUCUCACCAUAGGUAUUUAGGGUUCUUCUCAGUUGCUCACUCUGAUGAAGCAAGGUGCCAUGUUGGGAACCAUAGACAGGCUGAUGUGGCCGAACUAACAAUAGCCCCCAGUGAACAACCAGUAAAAUAUUGAAGCCCUUAGUCCAGCAGGCUUCAAAGAAACAAAUAUGGACAACUGCAUGGGUAAGCCUGAAACUAAGCCCAGUUGAGCUUUGAAAUGUCAGCAGCCAACACCUCCACUGCAGCCUGUGGGAGACCUGAUGCCAGAACACGCAGCUAUACUGCAGCUCAGUUCCUGAAACUGUAGUAGUGCGUGAGACUUAUUGCCCCACUCUAAACAUUUGGUCACUUGAGGAAGUUGCCUUUCUUUUUAGGAAAUCUAACAGCUUUAUUGAGAUAUAAUUCAUAUACCAUAUAACUCACCCAUUUAAAAGAUACAAUUCAAUGGUUUUUGGUACAUACAUCACACAAUACAUGUAUCACCACAAUCAGUUUUAGCACAUUUUUGUCACUCUAAAAGGAAACCUCUUGCCCAUAGUAGUCACUUGCUUCCUCUCCAAACAUCCCCCUGCCCUAGGCAAAAACUAAUUUUUUUAUAUCUCAAGAUUCAGAAGAUUUCUUUAAUAAAUGUAAUCAUACAAUAU